UAGCUCAAGUGGGAGAGCACAUGCUUAGCAUGCAUGAGGUCCUGGGUUCAAUCCCUAG
rnacentral:tRNA from 1 species